GGCCCCUUAGCUCAGUAGGAUGAGAGCAAUCGCCUUCUAAGCGAUAGGCCGCUGGUUCGAGCCCAGCAGGGGCCG
rnacentral:tRNA from 1 species